AUUGAACGCUGGCGGAAUGCUUUACACAUGCAAGUCGAGCGGCAGCGCGGUCUUCGGACUGGCGGCGAGCGGCGAACGGGUGAGUAAUACAUCGGAACAUGCCCAGUCGUGGGGGAUAACACUUCGAAAGAAGUGCUAAUACCGCAUACGUACUGAGGGAGAAAGCGGGGGAUCGCAAGACCUCGCGCGAUUGGAGCGGCCGAUGUCGGAUUAGCCAGUUGGGGGGUUAAAGGUCUACUAAGGCAACGAUCUGUAGCUGGUCUGAGAGGAUGAUCAGCCACACUGGGACUGAGACACGGCCCAGACUCCUACGGGAGGCAGCAGUGGGGAAUUUUGGACAAUGGGGGCAACCCUGAUCCAGCCAUUCCGCGUGAGUGAAGAAGGCCUUCGGGUUGUAAAGCUCUUUCGGCAGGAACGAAACGGUGAGCUCUAACAUAGCUCGCUAAUGACGGUACCUGAAGAAGAAGCACCGGCUAACUACGUGCCAGCAGCCGCGGUAAGAC
rnacentral:rRNA from 1 species